UUGAUUUUUUCGAGGUAUUCAGGAGUAUUCUGAUUAGCCAUAUUUGAAGGACUUAUGUGGAGCUUGAAGUCUGGACCAAAAUAUUCAAAGUAAUCAUUGUAUGGUAGUUCGUUAGCUAUUUCCGAACCCAGAGCAACAGAAGUUUCAUAUGUCCAACAUCUGGAUACGUUACGAAUCGUAUAUCCUCCACCUCCAACCAUCAGGAAUGGGAGGUAUAAGUCGGCGAUAGUUGAAACCUGCUGAACUGACUGCUGCACAUCGAGUCAUUUGUUCAUUAAUUACCUGUCAACGAGUCGGCACCACAUUGUAAAACUACUGCAGAGGGUUGGAAUGUUUCCAUGACUUUUGAGAUUAUUGGUACAAAAAUUGAUUCGUAACUUUCAUCGUCCAUCCCAUCUCGUAAAGGUAUAUUAACCGCGUAAUAUUUU
rnacentral:misc_RNA from 1 species